rnacentral:rRNA from 1 species
UACGGAGGGUGCAAGCGUUAUCCGGAUUUAUUGGGUUUAAAGGGUGCGCAGGCGGGGCCUUAAGUCAGUGGUGAAAUCCCUUCGCUUAACGAAGGAACUGCCAUUGAUACUGAGGUUCUUGAAUCUAGUUGACGUUAGUGGAAUGUGUCAUGUAGCGGUGGAAUGCUUAGAUAUGACACAGAACACCGAUCGCGAAGGCAGCUAACGAAGCUAGUAUUGACGCUCAGGCACGACAGCAUGGGGAGCAAACAGG